rnacentral:rRNA from 1 species
UACGUAGGGGGCAAGCGUUGUCCGGAAUCAUUGGGCGUAAAGCGCACGUAGGCGGCUUUCUAAGUCGGGGGUGAAAUCCUGGAGCUCAACUCCAGAACUGCCUUCGAUACUGGAGAGCUCGAGUCCGGGAGAGGUGAGUGGAACUGCGAGUGUAGAGGUGAAAUUCGUAGAUAUUCGCAAGAACACCAGUGGCGAAGGCGGCUCACUGGCCCGGUACUGACGCUGAGGUGCGAAAGCGUGGGGAGCAA